rnacentral:lncRNA from 1 species
AUGUCAUAAAACCAAUCCUACCAAGGGCAGCCAAAAUGCGAUGCUCACUUUGCACAGACGAUGCAACACUUUUUACCAAUCCGGAUCGAAUUGAGCUCCAACACAUCAACCAACUAUUGCAAGUUUUCGAUAACUAUUCUGGCCAGAAAAUCAACAUGACCAAAACUGAGAUAUUCCCCAUCAGAUGUGAUGCUGAGACUAUAACAGAUGCACUUCUGGGCUUCGCCGGCACUAUCUGCUCC